CGCUCGAUCGCGCUGUAUGAGACAGGAAAACAUAGCAUGCACACAUUAGCGACAGGUCUUACAGGCGGAAAAGGCUUGCCUAAAGAAAAAAAAAACACACCACAACAUCUCUCCUAUUGGUGGAAAACUUCACCACAACAACCAAUCCAAAAUUAUAUGGUGACUGAUUGACAAGGGGCGGGCGCUUACGUUCUUCCUGCAAUAUGAGAAGGGAGGGAGGGACUCUCAGCAGGGAUGCAGUCUGGGACACGUAGUUGCAAACCUAGCGACUUUGUUGUUAGAUUCAAUUACUUUUCAGACCCCCUAACGACUUUUUUUAGAAAGAAAGGGACUUUUAUCGACUUCUUCUGGAGUUUAGAGACUCUGACAUGAAGCAGGCUUUCCUUACUGAGGAGUUAGCAACGCUGCUAAGGGUGCAGAGCCACACAUGCGCUCCGAGCUCUGCAUGGGAGACUGAAGCUGACAGAGCUGCAGCAGUUAGCAGGUUUCACCCUCAGAGACCACCAGGGGUUCAUGUUGAGGCAUUUUCAGUUUUUGUUUUUUUUGCCAUAGACUGUCAGCACAAUCUGCAGUUACACUAACAAAAAUGCUGCAAAAAACAAAGAAUUAUGGAAAAAUUACACAUGGACUGACAUAGAGGAGGAUCUACACAAGUUUUUUACAUCAUGUUUUACAUCAUGCAUCAUUUACAUCAUUCAUCAUUUUUUGUAGUGGCAUAAAUAAAAAGUGACAUUUGUGAGACUAUACAGUGUUUUGUAAAUAAUUUUACAAAGAACGCCUGGGCCAUUGCCUGCAUUUUGAUGUAAAUAGAGGUAAAUUACUAUGUUCUUUGUUAAAAAUUUGCAUAUGUUUUGAAGUUUACAAUUUUUAUUUGAAGUUUAAGUUUUAAAAACAGUUCAUCACACAUAUUUGUGGUUUAAUUUCACAUUAAUUUCCAUAUUGUAUAAAUGACUGGAAAAAACUUGAGCCCCUGCCCCUGUAUAAUCAUGUGCACGUCCCUGUUCUAGCUCCAAGGUGAAUCUUCACUGCUCAUGUUCUCCUCAGAAAUAGUCACCUCACUCCCCUCAGGUUACUGUACACAUGCACCAACUAUCUGCUUCAGGUUUGGAUGGAGCUUCAUGGUUGUCUUUUGGAGAAAUGAACAGUCAAGUUGUGUUUGAAAUAUGAUUUUUUUCAGCGGCAAAAGGAAGCCUCUGCAUUCUUGUCAAAUAUGUAAACAGCAUGUUUUUGCAGGUGCUAAAAAACAGACUCUGAGUGUGUGUGUGUGUGUGUGUGUGUGUGUGUGUGUGUGUGUGUGUGUGUGUGUGUGUGUGUGUGUGUAUGUGUGUGUAUCCUGCAGUACUCUGUACUCCUGCAGUGGCCAAAAAGACUUUUAAGAAUGUGGAUUUUUGGGUCAUCUUUGGCGCCCCCUAGAACUGCAGUACUCUGUACUCCUGCAGUGGCCAAAAUGACUUUUAAGAAUGUGGAUUUUUGGGUCAUCUUUGGCGCCCCCUAGAACGUAAACCGUGGGGUGCAGCGUCAUGAUUUUUACAACUUUGAAUGGGCAUGGGGUGUAGAUUGCCCUGAGCAAAUUUGGUAUCGGUGGGACGAAAGCCUUAGGAGGAGAUAGCCACAUUCCAAUGUGUGUGAAUCGGCAAAAAAUGCGAAAUAGCCCUUUAACCGUACAUUAUACAGAUACGCGCUUUUGACUUUUUCGUAGAUCUAAUUGAGAUACGCAUGAUUGUCAAUUUUUGUGUCAAUAUGACAAAGCGUUCAGGCGUGACACUCAACAAUGUGUAUUUUCAUGUAAGGGGACAAGAAAAAAUUGACUUUUUUCUCCUGCCAUGGGGGGGCGCUCUUUUGGGGAGUAAAAAUUCCUUCACAAAUGUGUUGAUGGCUGGACAUUGCAUCAUCCUAGAAAACUUGGAGGGCAGUGAGGACAAAAAUAAAAAGUUAUAAGACUUUUAAGAAUGUGGAUUUUGGGUUAUCUUUGGCGCCCCCUAGAACGUAAACCGUGGGGUGCAGCGUCAUGAUUUUUACAACUUUGAAUGGGCAUGGGGUGUAGAUUGCCCUGAGCAAAUUUGGUAUCGGUGGGACGAAAGCCUUAGGAGGAGUCAGCCACAUUCCAAUGUGUGCGAAUCGGCAAAAAAUGCGAAAUAGCCCUUUAACCGUACAUUAUACAGAUACGCGCUUUUUGACUUUUUCGUAGAUCUAAUUGAGAUACACAUGAUUGUCAAUUUUUGUGUCAAUAUGACAAAGCGUUCAGGCGUGACACUCAACAAUGUGUAUUUUCAUGUAAGGGGACAAGAAAAAAUGGACUUUUUUCUCCUGCCAUGGGGGGGCGCUCUUUUGGGGAGUAAAAAUUCCUUCACAAAUGUGUUGAUGGCUGGACAUUGCAUCAUCCUAGAAAACUUGGAGGGCAGUGAGGACAAAAAUAAAAAGUUAUAAGACUUUUAAGAAUGUGGAUUUUGGGUUAUCUUUGGCGCCCCCUAGAACGUAAACCGUGGGGUGCAGCGUCAUGAUUUGUACAACUUUUAAUGGCCAUGGGGGGUAGAUUGGCCUGCGCAAAUGUGGUGCCGGUCGAACGAAA